AUUGAACGCUGGCGGCAGGCCUAACACAUGCAAGUCGAACGGUAACAGGAAGCAGCUUGCUGCUUUGCUGACGAGUGGCGGACGGGUGAGUAAUGUCUGGGAAACUCCCUGAUGGAGGGGGUUAACUACUGGAAACGGUAGCUAAUACCGCAUAACGUCGCAAGACCAAAGAGGGGGACCUUCGGGCCUCUUGCCAUCCGCUGUUCCCAGAUGGGAUUAGCUAGUAGGUGGGGUAACGGCUCACCUAGGCGACGAUCCCUAGCUGGUCUGAGAGGAUGACCAGCCACACUGGAACUGAGACACGGUCCAGACUCCUACGGGAGGCAGCAGUGGGGAAUAUUGCACAAUGGGCGCAAGCCUGAUGCAGCCAUGCCGCGUGUAUGAAGAAGGCCUUCGGGUUGUAAAGUACUUUCAGCGGGGAGGAAGGGAGUAAAGUUAAUACCUUUGCUCAUUGACGUUACCCGCAGAAGAAGCACCGGCUAACUCCGUG
rnacentral:rRNA from 1 species